UACGUAGGGGCAAGCGUUGUCCGGAAUCAUUGGGCGUAAAGCGCGUGUAGGCGGUUACGUAAGUCUGCUGUGAAAGUCGGAGGCUCAACCUUCGAAAGCCGGUGGAUACUGCGUGACUAGAGUACGGAAGAGGAGAGUGGAAUUCCUGGUGUAGCGGUGAAAUGCGCAGAUAUCAGGAGGAACACCGGUGGCGAAGGCGGGUCUCUGGGCCGAUACUGACGCUGAGGAGCGAAAGCGUGGGGAGCGAACAGG
rnacentral:rRNA from 1 species